CGCCUGUUUAUCAAAAACAUGUCUAUAUGAUUGGUAUGUAAAGUCUGGCCUGCCCACUGAUUUAUUUUAAAGGGCCGCGGUAUACUGACCGUGCGAAGGUAGCAUAAUCAUUAGUCUUUUAAUUGGAGGCUCGUAUGAAUGGUUGGACAAAAAGCAAACUGUCUCAAUUAUAUUUAUUGAAUUUAACUUUUAAGUGAAAAGGCUUAAAUAAAUUAAGGGGACGAUAAGACCCUAUAAAGCUUUACAAUAAGUUACCUAUAUUAUAAAUUGUUAGUAUAACUUGAGUUUAGGUAACGUUUGUUGCGUUGGGGCGACGAGAAUAUAAUAAGUAACUGUUCUUAAGUUAUUUAAUGACAGAAAUUUCUGGAAAAUUAAUGAUCCUCUACUAGAGAUCAUAAGAUUAAGUUACUUUAGGGAUAACAGCGUAAUCUUCUUUGAGAGUCCACAUCGACAGGAAGGGUUGCGACCUCGAUGUUGAAUUAAGGGUUCCUUAUAAUGCAGCAGUUAUAAAGGAGGGUCUGUUCGACCUUUAAAUCCUUACAUGAUCUGAGUUCAAACCGG
rnacentral:rRNA from 1 species